ACCCUCCUGGCCUCUCAUUUACAAACUUCACUACUGGGAUGCUCUCAAUCGGUCAUGCCAAACCCUAAUUCGGUCCUCUCUUACUCAGCCAUGGAACAUGACGAUCCUCGAAAUGGCGAUUCGACUCACAAUCUCGAUCAUGCUUCCAAGAAGCUCCGAAUGACCCGCUAUAUAUCGGAAUCCGAUAUCCGGGAAGAGUUCUCUCACCACCAGCCUGGUAUAGCUCGAAUCAACAACGGGAGCUUUGGGAGCUGCCCUGGGUCCGUGCUAUCUGCACAGCGGGAGUGGCAACUGCGGUUUCUACAGCAACCAGAUGAUUUCUACAGCAAUACGCUCCGGGACGGGAUUCUCCGUUCGCGGACUGUCAUCAAAGACCUCAUCAACGCCGACCACGUCGACGAGGUAUCUCUUGUUGACAACGCCACGACAGCUGCCGCUAUCGUGCUCCAACAGAUUGGCCGUGGUUUCGCCGAGGGCAGAUUUGCCAAAAACGACACCGUGGUAAUGCUCCACUGCGCCUUCCAAGCUGUGAAGAAAUCCAUUCAAGCGUAUGUCUCGCGUGCUGGCGGGUCAGUUGUGGAAGUUCAAUUACCAUUUCCGGUUGAUUCCGAUGAAGAAAUCAUUGCUGAGUUUAGGAAGGGGUUGCAGAGAGGCAAAGCUGAUGGUAGAAAAAUAAGGCUCGCGAUAAUCGAUCAUAUCACGUCAAUGCCGUGCGUUGUGAUGCCAGUUCGUGAGCUGGUGAGGAUUUGUAGAGAGGAGGAUGUGGAGCGGGUCUUUGUGGAUGCAGCCCAUGCCAUUGGCAGUGUUAAAGUUGACGUCAAAGACAUUGGUGCUGAUUUCUAUGUAAGUAAUUUCCACAAGUGGUGCUUUUGCCCCCCAGCAGUUGCUUUUUUAUAUUGCCGAGUGUCGGGUCCGCCAAAUGAUGUGCACCACCCUGUAGUUUCACAUGAAUAUGGAAAUGGCCUGCCCAUUGAAAGUGCUUGGAUUGGAACGAGGGAUUAUAGUUCGCAGCUUGUGGUGCCAUCAGCUUUGGAGUUUGUGAGUAGGUUUGAAGGUGGAUUAGAAGGGAUAAUGAAAAGGAACCAUGAGGAAGUUGUCAAAAUGGGAAAAAUGUUGGCGGAGUCAUGGGGAACCAUUCUUGGAUCACCACCUGAGAUGUGUGCAGCCAUGAUUAUGGUUGGUUUGCCCUCGAGGUUGUGUAUCAAAAGCAAUGAGGACGCCUCAAGGCUAAGGUCCCAUCUGCGUGCAAGUUAUGGAGUUGAGGUUCCUUUACAUUAUCAGACUCCAAAGGAUGGUGAAAAUGUAGCAAGGGAUAAGGAUGGGCUCAUAACAGGGUAUGCCCGGAUUUCUCAUCAGGUCUAUAACAGUAUUGAGGAUUAUUUCAAGUUUAGGGAUGCAAUUAAUCAGUUGAUCGAGGAUAAGAGAAUUUGCAAAAUACUUUCUGUAGAAUGAGGAGAAAGAAGUUGGUUUAAAUAAGUUUGGUAGCAGUGGUGGCAGAUUUGGUUUAUUUGGUUGAGAAGAAAGUUUUGCAGAACAUUGAAUCCUAUUCCUGUAACGCUUAGACAUCAGAGAAGCUUUUCAUGGAAUAGCAUGCGUGCUUCGCCAGUUUUCUAAUGGAUGUGGCUGCACACAGUAUGUGGAUGAAUUAGUAUGCAUGUUGCUUAGCUGAUCAGAGAUUGCAGUUAAUGCAACUGAAGAGAACCACAGAAUUGCUAGUAAGCUAGCUAGUUUUCACAGCCUUGUUGUAGCAUAACCAUAGUUGUGAGAAUAAAUUCAUGAAUGCCCGAACUCUCUUAGCAUUCAUCCUCCUUUUUAUGAGCUUCAUAUUCUUCACUCAGCCUUGUUGCUGAUCACUUCAAUAUGGGGUUUAAUCUAAAGAAAUGAGCCUGGUCUCUUGCUGCACUUCGCUUCA